UCGCGACCCCAGGUCAGGCGGGACUACCCGCUGAGUUUAAGCAUAU
rnacentral:rRNA from 1 species